UACGUAGGGUGCGAGCGUUAAUCGGAAUUACUGGGCGUAAAGCGUGCGCAGGCGGUUUUGUAAGCCAGAUGUGAAAGCCCCGGGCUUAACCUGGGAAUUGCGAUGGAGACUGCAAGGCUUGAAUCUGGCAGAGGUGGGUAGAAUUCCACGUGUAGCAGUGAAAUGCGUAGAUAUCUGGAGGAACACCGGUGGCGAAGGCGGCAUCCUGGACCGGCAUUGACGCUGAGGCGCGAAAGCUAGGGGAGCAAACGGG
rnacentral:rRNA from 1 species